rnacentral:rRNA from 1 species
GACGAACGCUGGCGGCAUGCCUAAUACAUGCAAGUCGAGCGAACAGAUGAAGUGCUUGCACUUCUGACGUUAGCGGCGAACGGGUGAGUAACACGUAAGGAAUCUACCUAUAAGCGGGGGAUAACAUUCGGAAACGGGUGCUAAUACCGCAUAAUAUCUUCUUCCGCAUGGAAGAAGAUUGAAAGACGGCUCUGCUGUCACUUAUAGAUGACCUUGCGGUGCAUUAGUUAGUUGGUGGGGUAACGGCCUACCAAGACGAUGAUGCAUACCCUACCUGAGAGGGUGAUGGGCAAAAUUGGGACAGAGCAAAGGCCCAAAUUCAUACGUGAGGCAGAAGUAGGAAAUCGUCAGCAAUGGGCGAAAGCCUGACGGAGCAAUGCCGCGUGAGUGAAGAAGGCCUUCGGGUCGUAAAACUCUGUUAUAAGAGAAGAACAAAUUGUAGAGUAACUGCUACAGUCUUGACGGUAUCUUAUCAGAAAGCCACGGCUAACUACGUGCCAGCCGCCGCCGUAA